UAACAAAAUGCAACUAAAUCUUGACAAC
rnacentral:sRNA from 1 species